GGAAAUAUGUGGGAACAAUUGAGUCAAUAUAAUACCAUGGGCACCCUCUCCCAAUAAACUAGCUUUUGGGGUGAGUUCUACCCAUGGACUUUGAGACUUUGUUGGGUCCAUUAUUAAUAGGUGGAUUCUAUCAAAGGUUCCCUUUGGAAACAGAGCAAAGUCUCACAAACCAUCUCUAUGCACACAAGCCUGAAGCUGAAAAGAAACUCAAAAAGUUGGGAGUAGAUGGAGCUGGAAAUACAAUUUAUCAGAGGGGCUGUUCAACUGGCGUUGGUUUUGAAGGAAAGAGUUGUGUAAACUACGUCUGGUAACUUGAGAGGCAGACCAAAGUGGCACCUCAGAAAAUCAUAUUUCCAGAGGAUUAAAGAAAAACAAAAACAAGCAGCCGUAAGCUGGACAUUGACAUACAUUAGAACUUGAAGAAACCUGAGAGGUCCAAUUAGAGAGUAUUGCAGUCCAAGACCAAUCUACAUUUAGCGUAUGCUGUUGUGGAUGGAUGCAAUGGUUUUUCAGUUGGUAGUUAUCUGAGGAGAACUGACGCAAGAGGAAGAUUCCCGGCGUUACUUACGAGCUUGAACUGAGGGAAAUGAACUUUAAUCCCGGGAGCAGCAGCAGCAACUACUGAUGGUAAAUAAGACUGCAGAGGAAAUCCAUUUGGGAUCAAGAACUGGUGUAUGUAUGGAUGUGGCACAUAAAUAGGUGGAAAAUAGGAACCGGAAGGAAAGAAGUAGGGAGGGUGUUGUUGCUUAAAAAGAUGAAUAGAGUGUUGAGAGGAUGCAAUGGCACUCUCAUCGGUAGACAUCGAGUAUGGGAUAGUUUGAGGCUUGGAAUGUGCAUUCUGCAAUUCGAGAAAAGCCUCCUUGUCGUCCUUUCGAAACUUCGACAGGAGAAUCAACUAGCUCAGCCCUUUGUCUUGUCUUGGGCCAAGGUUGACAAAUCCUGGCUGGAAAAGAAAUUCUUUAGCAAGGUCAAGGUGACAUAACUGAGCCACAACAAGCAAAUGGGAUUUGUUAAUACAAAAAGGAAAAACUCUCUUCUAUGGUUUUGUCUCUCAAAUCAGUAUCAAGACAGAAGGUUGCUGAAUCAAUAUCAAGACAGAAGCAGGUCAAUAGCUAACUCAAAAAGUAUACCAUUCACCGACCUAGGAGGAGCCUCCUCAGGGACAUGAAUGUCAUCAUCUCCGUCCAUGUUUGGACGGUCACCCUCAAUAGAACCGUUGUUAGAAGAAGAGGUCUCCUCCGUGGAAUUGCAAUCAAAGCUCCCAGAAGUCAGGCCAUUUCCCAAUGCCUUGGGGACUUGUGGCCGUUCACCAAAUAUCCGACUCAAGAGGUAACUGGGUUUUAGAGACUGUUGGAACAAAAAGUGGAAAAAACGAAACAUAAGCUACAUGCCAAGCCCAAUCAUAGCCCGCAACUGAACUAAAAAACACAAGUAAACCGGUCCUAAUAAAAUUUGAUUAAACCAAUGAUCAGUGACAGUGCGUCGCAGAAAGCAGCUAUACAACUGACUGACCAAUGCAAUUCGACGUAACAGACAAUGAAGGAUCCUGCUUGUUCAAAGAAGAUGAUUUCACCUUGGCUGGCUGGUUGUCCACAACAGGCUUCAAAUAUACGCAUGGUGUCUAGUAAUUUAAAAAAUAACAAGAGGGUUCUUUGUUAAAGCAUUGGGAAAUUGAUAAAAUAUUUUGAAAAAAAUGGG